CCCCCCCCCCAGCGGAGGCUGCUUGCUGCGAAGAUUCCAGGCUUUCUCCCAUCCCCCACAGUGACCAGACCAGUUCUACAAACCUCGCCGGACCCACGGUGAAAGAUGAGAAAGCUGUCACUAUUUUUGAAGACCUAUACUUGACAACUGUAACAAGAUGUGGACAGAAGAGAUGAAGAAGUCCUAAAGAUUACCAAGCUGAAACUUAAGUCAACUUCUCAGGUUUAUCAAUCGCUCUCCUGAGACCUUACCUGGCAUAAGGCUUUCAACCUUGUGACCCACAUCAUAAAAAGGACAUGGACCUUGAGGAAGAGGAGAACCAUCAGGAUAUGCAGAGGGCUGGAGGAACUCUCCUACAAAAGAAAAUGAAAGAGUUGGAGUUAUUCAGCCUAGAGAAGAGAAGGCCCUAGGGAGGCAUUUUAAAGGCCUUCCAGUACCUAAAGGGGCCUACAGAAAAG
ensembl:lncRNA